rnacentral:rRNA from 1 species
UACGUAGGGCGCAAGCGUUGUCCGGAAUUAUUGGGCGUAAAGAGCUCGUAGGCGGCUUGUCACGUCGGAUGCGAAAGCCCGGGGCUUAACCCCGGGUCUGCAUUCGAUACGGGCAGGCUAGAGUGUGGUAGGGGAGAUCGGAAUUCCUGGUGUAGCGGUGAAAUGCGCAGAUAUCAGGAGGAACACCGGUGGCGAAGGCGGAUCUCUGGGCCAUUACUGACGCUGAGGAGCGAAAGCGUGGGGAGCGAACAGG